CAAGUCGAACGAUGAACCACUUCGGUGGGGAUUAGUGGCGAACGGGUGAGUAACACGUGGGCAAUCUGCCCUUCACUCUGGGACAAGCCCUGGAAACGGGGUCUAAUACCGGAUACUGACCCUUGCAGGCAUCUGCGAGGUUCGAAAGCUCCGGCGGUGAAGGAUGAGCCCGCGGCCUAUCAGCUUGUUGGUGAGGUAAUGGCUCACCAAGGCGACGACGGGUAGCCGGCCUGAGAGGGCGACCGGCCACACUGGGACUGAGACACGGCCCAGACUCCUACGGGAGGCAGCAGUGGGGAAUAUUGCACAAUGGGCGAAAGCCUGAUGCAGCGACGCCGCGUGAGGGAUGACGGCCUUCGGGUUGUAAACCUCUUUCAGCAGGGAAGAAGCGAAAGUGACGGUACCUGCAGAAGAAGCGCCGGCUAACUACGUGCCAGCAGCCGCGGUAAUACGUAGGGCGCAAGCGUUGUCCGGAAUUAUUGGGCGUAAAGAGCUCGUAGGCGGCUUGUCACGUCGGUUGUGAAAGCCCGGGGCUUAACCCCGGGUCUGCAGUCGAUACGGGCAGGCUAGAGUUCGGUAGGGGAGAUCGGAAUUCCUGGUGUAGCGGUGAAAUGCGCAGAUAUCAGGAGGAACACCGGUGGCGAAGGCGGAUCUCUGGGCCGAUACUGACGCUGAGGAGCGAAAGCGUGGGGAGCGAACAGGAUUAGAUACCCUGGUAGUCCACGCCGUAAACGGUGGGCACUAGGUGUGGGCAACAUUCCACGUUGUCGUGCCGCAGCUAACGCAUUAAGUGCCCCGCCUGGGGAGUACGGCCGCAAGGCUAAAACUCAAAGGAAUUGACGGGGGCCCGC
rnacentral:rRNA from 1 species